GAACACUUUAGCGGGCUGCCGUUUGUAUGUUUGUGUGGGUGUGUGUGCGAAACCCAAGCAGCUCUGUUAAACGGAUUAAAGUUAGUGGAGUUAGUGCACAACGGUGAUAAAAACCAUGGCUGUUGAAUGUUUAGGCACUGCUUCUGCCAGGCUCUUAUUUAAAACGCAUAUUUACUGAGCUGCGGGAUGAAGAGCAGAAAACAGAGGACCGUCAGAACCGGAGGCAGCAAAAAGAAAGUCCCCAGCGAUGUGCCCCCCGCCACCAGCCUCCCUCCUCUGGUCGAAGGCCAGCUAAGAUGCUUCCUGCGGCUGACCAUAAGCAGGGUAUUAUGGACAGUUCAUAAGCCUCCACCUGCAACAUUUGUGAGGCUGCGCUGGUGGGGAGAGUCCUCAAACGGGACACACUUCUUCCCGAGAGAUGGCUCACAGCCGUCACAGAAGACCAUCAAGACCACAGCUCGCUUCCCCAUCCGCUGUGGACCAAAGCAGUUCACCUCAUAUCUUACAGAUAUGGGCUCCCUGGUGCUGGAAGUUCUGACAAAACCUGAUCAUCUGCCGAUCGCAAGGGCUCAGGUUUCGGGUAUCUCUCGCCUCUCUCUGUCCCACCCCAUCAGUGGAUUUUACACCCUUAUAUCACCUACAUCUGACAAGCUGGGAGAGUUACAGGUUUCCCUUAAUCUGGAGCCUCUGACAGAAGCCUAUGACAGCAGCAGCUCUUGUCCCAUCACAGAUAUUAGUGUUGAAGGACCAGAAGUAACCAAACUGAAUGUGCCCUCGCAAACCAGACCACUCUCCGCCGUCAGCAGCAGUGGAAACACUCCAAGAGGGAAAGACCACUUGUAUUUCCAAAAUGCACAGAAGGACAAAGAAGAAUCACUGGAGAAUCAGAUGCCGACAACAGACAAAUCUCCAAACAGUCAAGCGGCCAUGAAUCCUUCAUGUAGACAGCUCUGUGGUCAAACCACCAAUGAUAUUCUUUCAGUUAUUCUGGAGCGUGGAAACAAGCUUAGAAACGCAAUGGUUGUAUCAACUUUAAAAUGUGACAUGGAUUCUGCCCCGGCUCUGAAAGACACCCCUCUACCUCUCCCAAAGGAAAACAUCCUGCCAUCUUCAAAGCCCGUCCCGUCUCCCUCUGGGAUGUUCCUUCAAAAUAUUCUUCAUGCUGAUUCAACUCUCAAGCACUCUGAGGAUGUUUCUGUAGUCUCAGACUGUCCUAUGGACAUGGAUAACAGAGCUGUGCACCUGCUCCUCGGCAGCUUGAACACUUCUCCUUUGCCUCUCUGGGAUGGAGAUGGCUCCUUCCCUGAAUCUCUCUCUGGCCAUAGCAGUGUGUGUGGGGACAGUGAGCUCAAUGAUCCACAAUAUGACCAGAGCUUACUGGAACAUUUGUUCUACAAAAGUCCUAUGUCAGAUAUCAAACCAGACGACACUGAGCCAGAGGGUCAAGGAACAAUGUCACGGAGUAAAAAACAGCUGACACAGUCUGCACCCAAGAUGAGUGAACGUCCUAACUCAGAGCCUCAGCGGUGUGCAGAUGCUGCUGGUAUCCCUCCUGGUUUGAGUGCAGAGCAGUUCACUUUGCUGAGUUUGAUCCGGCUUGCGAGAGUCACCAUCGACUCUCUUAUUGUACCUACAGGAAGUACAACCACCACACCUAGAAAACCCUCUAGUAAAGGGAAACCUCCUCAACCGUUAACCAGCAAAAAGUGCACAUAUUUUGUAGAGUAUCUGUUCCCGACGGCCUCAACUUCCAGUCGACAUGAUCGUAGUAAGGGUGGAGAUGGAGAGGUGACCACAGCUGUUGCCAGUAAAGUUGCAGGUGGAGCGGUAAAGUUCCAUCAGCGAUCUGUGUUUCCUGUCCACUUCAGUACAGCAGCAGUAAACAAAUGGUGGGGAACUGAUCUGCUUUUCAAGAUUUACUCACGAAGGAGCGACCAAAAGAAACCUGUUCCCAUCGGCAUGGCGAUCCACCCGCUGCGCUGUCUGCUGGAGAGCGAGCAGCUGAGUCAGUCUGUCCUCUUACCUGUGCAGAGGGUGGAAGCGAACAGUGAAACACAGGAGAUUGGACCCCUCAGGGUGUCGCUAGAACUUGCUAUACACAAUAAAGAUUUCUCCACUGAACAAAGUAAAAGCAAGCUGGCUCGGAGAGAUGCAUCGCCUUCUCAAACUGCACCCAGUCCACAGAGAGAGAGCAGCUCCAGAUCUCACCAUGCUGACAUUGAGAGGGAGGAGCUACCUGCUGGAUCUUUUGAAGAACCCACGCUGAAUGCUUGGAGUCCUCAGAAACACUCAAAGGAACCUUCUCCUCAUCUCGGCCUCCGAACAUCUCACAGAUCACAGCUACAGGUGGAGGAGGAUCCUGAGGUUCUGCUGCAUACGUUACUCAUGGUGCCCGAUGGAAAGAUCUUGCCCAUGCAGGCUCCAAACGUGUACCUGAACUGUAAACUCUGGUGUGAUGAGACAGCGAGGUCUGUCGUCAGCUGGGGGCAGGCAAAUCCUUCCUUUAACUUUGUUCAGGUGACCCCUGUGGCCUUAACUACUAAGCUGCUGGAGCGGAUGAAGAAUAACGUGAUAGUAAUCGAGGUGUGGCAGAAGACGGGAAGUUCAGGGCAGGAUCGACUCCUCGGCCUCGUUAAAUUACCUCUCCACCAGUUCUACAUGUCAUUUAGGGAUCCAAAGAUUGCCCAACUUCUUCUCCAGGCGCAGUACCCUGUUCUAGGGGUGGACUGCUACAUGCCGCUCAUUGAUGUGUUCUCAGGAAGCUGUAAAGGACAGCUCAGGGUAGUUUUGGCUAUGGGCCGAUCAGAGCAGAUAGCUGCCCUCCAGCGCACGAGGGAUGAAGAAUACGACUGCUUACCUCAUCUCGUGAGACCAGUUCACCUGCUGGAUCACCAGUCUCAUUCACCAAAAAAGGUUAUUGCACCUCAACAGGAAAGUAUGAGAGAGCAUGUGUUUGUGAUAAGAGUGGAGAAGGUAGAUGGGCUGACCCCUCUGCAGUCUACAGUGUGGGGCGAGGCUGACUGCUACGUCCAGUACAGCUUCCCCUGUCAGGAGGCUGACCCUGCUGCAAAAGUGGACCAGAACCUCAUAGAGAGUAGCGUAAACCUGAAGCCGUUCCGUACCACCACCACUCUCUGCGUCCCGGACCCUGUGUUUGGCCACACUGAGACUCAUGUGCUCCUGGCUCCUGAAGGACUUCCUGUUCAGAGGCUGCUGCUUAGCUCUCUUUCGACUAAAGGCCUAAGCAGCGGAGGGGGUGUCCAAUUUGAAGUCUGGUGCAGAUACUAUUAUCCAAACGUUCGAGACCAGCUUGUGGCCAGAGGAAUGCUUCCUUUGUCCAAGCUGUGUGCCAUGGUCACCAUGCAGAGACAGCAUCCUAAUGAGGCUCAAAUGUUCUCCCUGCCCCUGAUUCCCAGGACGAACAGUCCCAUUGCAAACCCGCCUCAGCCCUCAGGAUUACUGGAUGUGUGCAUUCGGUACAAGCACCGACCGGUGAGACCUGAAGGUCAGACUGGUAAAGGAGUGGCCUCUCGUGUUGUGACCCUGGUGGUUCAGGUGCACAGAGCAUCAGGUCUGCAGGCUGCAGCAAGGGUUUUAUCAGAACAAGAUGACAGAUUCAGCUACUUUGCUGGUGUGGGAGUAAACUCGUUCAUCACGGUGGAGCUCUCGUUUUUGCCUGAGAGUGAGAUGAGGUGCACCCGUGUCGCUGCCAGGACCUUCUGCCCUGAGUUUGACCACCACAUGGAGUUGUCCUGCGAUCUGCUGCUUCAGAGGAGCAGUGGAGAAACCUGCAGCUUAGCUGAGCAGCUGGAAGAAGCCUCUGCUGUCUUCACUGUCUGGAACAGAGACAGUCGCAAAGUCCACACUCAUAAGCCUAAGGAUGCGAUGUUGGGCUCAGUGAAAAUACCUCUUGCUGAUCUCAUCCAUAAAAGAACAGGUAUUUCAGGCUGGUUUGGAGUGUAUACACCUCAGCAAACAAGUUCUUCUUCUCAGCAGCAGCACAUCUUGGUCGGAGGCCUUGAAAUCUCCGUCAGCUUCGCCCACCACUCAGACAGGGAAAGAGUGAUAAAAGCUGCUCAGGGUUUGAGCUGGGAAAUGGCCCAGAAUGACAAGCAAGAGGAUGAAGAAGCUUGGGGAGACGGCAUGAGAAAAAUGUCUUUAACUGUUUCGAUUCCUAGAGCGUGGAUACCGGUCCACUGCUUGCUUCUGCCGGGCCUCAGUGAGCUGGAGCGCUCCACGUACUGCUACUUCAGGUACAAGUUCUACGACCAGGAAGCCUUCUGCUCUCAGAUGAAACACCCCUCUGUAGAGGAGGGGGGGCAGGCCACGGUGACCUUCCAGGGAAGUAGAGCAGUGGAGCUAAGGAGCACUCAGCCCUUGAUGUGGUAUCUACGAGAGGAGAGGCUGGAGGUCCAGCUGUGGGUCGCAUUUUCAAAAGAGAAAUCCCAGAGGCCUAGAGACACUGAUCGACUGGUGGGCUCAGCAUUUGUUGAUCUGUCCUCUCUUGCAAAGACGCCGAAGCAGAAGUUUACCAUCAGUGGAGUGUAUCCGCUGUUCAGGCGCUCAGCAGCAGAUCUACAAGGGGCUGCUAUCAGGGUACACAUCGCCAUGACAGCAGGGGAUGUCCCAGUGGAGCUCCCUGCUGGAGUUACCACUCAGGUGGACUCGGACAGCCAGGGGGAGCUCCUAUCAGAGGAGGAAGCAGCAGAUUGUAUCACUUCGCCAGCUACACCAAAACAACCACAAAGCACACACAAGAAUAAGUCCUCCGGAACAACUCCAGACAUCACACGUGUGCAGCAUACAGAAAUGAGCACGGAGGAAUCUUUCCCUGUGACUGUAGCAGUGGAUCGAGCUAUGCACCUGAAUCUGAAGGGCUGUCCUCUGGCAGAGCGCAGUGAAGGGUCGCCGUGCUGCUGUGUUUCCUACAUCACUGCCGACUCCGCUGAACCAGUGUCCACUGCUGUCUUAGCCAACACCGACUGCCCUGUGUGGGACCAUCAUCAUGAGUGCAGGCUUACAAAUGAGCUACUGCUCGAUCCACAGCAACAUCUCGUGUUCAAAGUCUGGCACAAAGGAGAAACGGAGAGGGUGAUUGGAUUUGCGUCUGUAGACCUGUCCCCCUUACUCUGUGGGUUCCAGUUGGUGUGUGGUUGGUACAACAUCACAGACUUCAGCGGUCAGUGUCACGGCCAGCUCAAAGUGUCAAUCAUUCCUCUAAAGGGGGUCCAAGACCUCCGUGGAAAGAGAAAGGCUGUGAAUGAAGAAACUGCCAAAAACUCACCAAAGGAUUUAUUCCAGGCACUCCCUGUCAUCUACCAUACCACAGCCACCUACAGCAGCUUCCCCUCUCACAUCAGCCAGCACACAGAGCAAAAGAUCUCAUCACCCGACAUCACGGAGAGGCUGUUCUCUGAAAGGUCCAGUGAGAGUGACCGCCACUUUGAGCACAUGGACAAAGUGCGACUGUACCAUCAGAGUCUGCAGGAGCAAACAGCAGCUCCUUCUGUCUGCAACAGCAGCAGCGCUGGUGACAUCAAUCCCUCCAGCUCCUUCCUGUUUUCAGCACUCAGGAAAAAACUAAGUGAGCUUGACAACAUCCAGAGAUACUUCAGCCGUAAACUUUCAACUCCCACAUUCCCGCCCACUAGAGAGCCGGACUGUCAGACCAGCCAGGAGGAGCAGAGGGACUCGGAGACAGACACACGGCAGCUUCUUCUCAAGUCCAAACACUUAGUUGGACAAGCAGACAAUAUCAUUAGUGGUCUGCGAGGAUCCCACCUGGAAACAAUUCCUUCAGACCACCUAAGCAGCUCAGCAACUUCACUUGUUGGAGACAACAACCCUCAAACUAUCCCGGAGAGUGUCACCAGUCCACGCAGGGCUUCACAUUUAUCCCAGGAAGAGGAAGAAGAAGAGGAAAAGGUGUCACUCCUGCACUCGCCACUGCCAAAGACGUCUGAAGCCCAGUCAGACUCUGAGCCUGAGGGAGAGAAGGACGAAUGGAGCUACAAGCUUACCGUGUCAGAAGAUGAAAACGAAGAAGGAGCAGACCAAGAUGGUACAGGUUGUUCACAGGAUGAAGAAGCUGAUGAUGAUGAUGAAGAAGAGCUAGAUGAAGAUUACGAUGAGGUUGUGGUGAACCCGAGGCCUCUGAACGAGGUGACUUCGUUAACGGACAAAACCAGCCCUUGGACCAGUAUCAUGUCAGAGCCUGACCUGGUGUCUGUGGAGAGCCCGGAGCCACCAGAGGGAGAGGAUCUGAGAGAGGAUGAGGACGAGGAAGAGGAAACGGUAGAACUGCUAACCCAUAGUGGAGAUGAGAGCAGAGAAGAAAGUGAACAUCAGCAAAGUGACAGUUUUAAUGGAUCAGCUGGAGACUCUUCAGACACAGACGGUGAAAGGACAAUACAAUUUUCAGCCGAGAGACCACCGAAAGAACCCAGCAGCCCCAACGAAGUGUCAGGUGACCGAGUUCCUUCACCCACCACACUGCACGCCACAGAUACCCAUGAUGCUUCAUGCUCCCUGGACCAUCAAGAUGUUCCAACCCAACUCUCUGCCCCUGUGGAGGUUCCUAAUUUCUUCCUUCCCUCUCACCAACUGGAGGCCUCCAUGAGAGUCAUACGUUUAGCUCCUUCUUUCUCCAACAAGACUACUGACCCGAACCGGCUCUGCUUCCUCGGAGGCUCUCGUGGAGCAGACCAGGAGCAGGGGAGCCUCACUCCCCUUUGACUCGGGAGACGCUGUCUCUGGGGUGGCGGAGGAGCGGAGACGUGGGACGGAGCCCCUGCAGCCGCCGAAGGGCGAGCCUGACGCCGAGGUGGUUGCUGUAGGCGUCUCUCCGCUUGCGGCCUCUGCUGCCGGUGUGGACGCCGCGGCUGCUGCAGACGUUGGUGCCGCUGUGGGAGCUCAGCAGGCUGGAGCCAGCUGACUCUGGGGCCUCACAUUCCAAAUCACAGAGGUCCUCGACAGCGUCCCAACAUGUCCCCGUCAUCCAUGAAGAAAGAGACUGAAAGAAUAGCAAAAAUAUUUUCAGCCCACUUUGAUGGCAAUCACUAGU